AAGGUAAUCAAUUAAUUAUUCCUGAUACAAGAGGGAGUAGUAGUCGUGGGGGUGGUGGUGGUGGUGGGGUUUCAAAUGGAAGUUCACGAGGUAGUGGAGGAGGUGGUGGAGGAGGUAUGAGAAGUGAAAGUAGAGGCAGUGAUAUCAGUAGUG
rnacentral:ribozyme from 1 species